rnacentral:rRNA from 1 species
GGGUUGUGAGGUUAAGCGACUAAGCGUACACGGUGGAUGCCCUGGCAGUCAGAGGCGAUGAAGGGCGUGCUAAUCUGCGAUAAGCGCCGGUAAGGUGAUAUGAACCGUUAUAACCGGCGAUACCCGAAUGGGGAAACCCAGUGUGACUCGUCACACUAUCAUUAACUGAAUCCAUAGGUUAAUGAGGCGAACCGGGGGAACUGAAACAUCUAAGUACCCCGAGGAAAAGAAAUCAACCGAGAUUCCCCCAGUAGCGGCGAGCGAACGGGGAGGAGCCCAGAGCCUGAAUCAGCAUGUGUGUUAGUGGAAGCGUCUGGAAAGGCGCGCGAUACAGGGUGACAGCCCCGUACACAAAAGCGCAUGUGCUGUGAGCUCGAUGAGUAGGGCGGGACACGUGGUAUCCUGUCUGAAUAUGGGGGGACCAUCCUCCAAGGCUAAAUACUCCUGACUGACCGAUAGUGAACCAGUACCGUGAGGGAAAGGCGAAAAGAACCCCGGCGAGGGGAGUGAAAAAGAACCUGAAACCGUGUACGUACAAGCAGUGGGAGCCCCACCACUAAGCCAGUGGUGAACUCCACAUACGCAUCCUUUGCUGAGGAUACGGUUAACGGAGCGAAAGCGACGUUCAACCGCAAAAGAAGCAGAGGGGGCUUAGUGGUGGGGUGACUGCGUACCUUUUGUAUAAUGGGUCAGCGACUUAUAUUCUGUAGCAAGGUUAACCGUAUAGGGGAGCCGGAGGGAAACCGAGUCUUAAUUGGGCGUUAAGUUGCAGGGUAUAGACCCGAAACCCGGUGAUCUAGCCAUGGGCAGGUUGAAGGUUGGGUAACACUAACUGGAGGACCGAACCGACUAAUGUUGAAAAAUUAGCGGAUGACCUGUGGCUGGGGGUGAAAGGCCAAUCAAACCGGGAGAUAGCUGGUUCUCCCCGAAAGCUAUUUAGGUAGCGCCUCGUGAAUUCAUCUCCGGGGGUAGAGCACUGUUUCGGCUAGGGGGCCAUCCCGGCUUACCAACCCGAUGCAAACUGCGAAUACCGGAGAAUGUUAUCACGGGAGACACACGGCGGGUGCUAACGUCCGUCGUGAAGAGGGAAACAACCCAGACCGCCAGCUAAGGUCCCAAAGUCAUGGUUAAGUGGGAAACGAUGUGGGAAGGCCCAGACAGCCAGGAUGUUGGCUUAGAAGCAGCCAUCAUUUAAAGAAAGCGUAAUAGCUCACUGGUCGAGUCGGCCUGCGCGGAAGAUGUAACGGGGCUAAACCAUGCACCGAAGCUGCGGCAGCGACGCUGAUGCGUUGUUGGGUAGGGGAGCGUUCUGUAAGCCUGCGAAGGUGGCCUGUGAGGGUUGCUGGAGGUAUCAGAAGUGCGAAUGCUGACAUAAGUAACGAUAAAGCGGGUGAAAAGCCCGCUCGCCGGAAGACCAAGGGUUCCUGUCCAACGUUAAUCGGGGCAGGGUGAGUCGACCCCUAAGGCGAGGCCGAAAGGCGUAGUCGAUGGGAAACGGGUUAAUAUUCCCGUACUUGGUGUUACUGCGAAGGGGGGACGGAGAAGGCUAUGUUGGCCGGGCGACGGUUGUCCCGGUUUAAGCGUGUAGGUGUGUGUUCCAGGUAAAUCCGGUUCACUUUAACACUGAGGCGUGAUGACGAGGCACUACGGUGCUGAAGCAACAAAUGCCCUGCUUCCAGGAAAAGCCUCUAAGCAUCAGGUAACAUCAAAUCGUACCCCAAACCGACACAGGUGGUCAGGUAGAGAAUACCAAGGCGCUUGAGAGAACUCGGGUGAAGGAACUAGGCAAAAUGGUGCCGUAACUUCGGGAGAAGGCACGCUGACACGUAGGUGAAGU